rnacentral:rRNA from 1 species
GGGGGAUAUUGCACAAUGGGGGAAACCCUGAUGCAGCGACGCCGCGUGGAGGAAGAAGGUUUUCGGAUUGUAAACUCCUGUCGUUAGGGACGAUAAUGACGGUACCUAACAAGAAAGCACCGGCUAACUACGUGCCAGCAGCCGCGGUAAAACGUAGGGUGCAAGCGUUGUCCGGAAUUACUGGGUGUAAAGGGAGCGCAGGCGGGAAGACAAGUUGGAAGUGAAAACCAUGGGCUCAACCCAUGAAUUGCUUUCAAAACUGUUUUUCUUGAGUAGUGCAGAGGUAGAUGGAAUUCCCGGUGUAGCGGUGGAAUGCGUAGAUAUCGGGAGGAACACCAGUGGCGAAGGCGGUCUACUGGGCACCAACUGACGCUGAGGCUCGAAAGCAUGGGUAGCAAACAGGAUUAGAUACCCUGGUAGUCCAUGCCGUAAACGAUGAUUACUAGGUGUUGGGGGAUUGACCCCCUCAGUGCCGCAGUUAACACAAUAAGUAAUCCACCUGGGGAGUACGACCGCAAGGUUGAAACUCAAAGGAAUUGACGGGGGCCCGCACAAGCAGUGGAGUAUGUGGUUUAAUUCGAAGCAACGCGAAGAACCUUACCAGGUCUUGACAUCCGAUGCAUAGCACAGAGAUGUGUGAAAUCCUUCGGGACAUCGAGACAGGUGGUGCAUGGUUGUCGUCAGCUCGUGUCGUGAGAUGUUGGGUUAAGUCUCGCAACGAGCGCAACCCUUAUUGCCAGUUACUACGUUAAGAGGACUCUGGCGAGACUGCCGUUGACAAAACGGAGGAAGGUGGGGAUGACGUCAAAUCAUCAUGCCCUUUAUGACCUGGGCUACACACGUACUACAAUGGCGUUAAACAAAGAGAAGCAAGACCGCGAGGUGGAGCAAAACUCAAAAACAACGUCUCAGUUCAGAUUGCAGGCUGCAACUCGCCUGCAUGAAGUCGGAAUUGCUAGUAAUCGCGGAUCAGCAUGCCGCGGUGAAUACGUUCCCG